rnacentral:rRNA from 1 species
AGAAUCAACGCUGGCGGCGUGCCUAACACAUGCAAGUCGCACGAGAAAGGGAGCAAUCCCUGAGUACAGUGGCGCACGGGUGAGUAACACGUGAAUAAUCUACCUCCGAGUGGGGAAUAACUGAGAGAAAUCUUAGCUAAUACCGCAUAACACUUACGAGUCAAAGCAGCAAUGCGCUUGGAGAGGAGUUCGCGGCCGAUUAGUUAGUUGGCGGGGUAAUGGCCCACCAAGACGAUGAUCGGUA